CUUUUCUGCAGCCAGAUCUAUCAGCAGAAAUUCAAGGAAAAUGGCGAUGAGGGCUUUCUACAAGGAGAUCAAGGGUUUGAAGGUGAAGGAAUUGCCCAGCCACCUUAAGCCAAUCUUCUCAAUCAGCAAUCUGAAGAACGCCGGCGGUCGUGCCCUCGACAAUUACCACGCCAAGUACAUCGAGACCAGCUCCGUUGACCCUCUCCUUCACAUCUGCUUCGGCGGUAUGAUCUUCUCCUACCUCGUCGCUCUCCCCGAGGAGCGCCGCCACCUCCAACAUCAGCAGGACCACGCUGCCCAUUGAUCCAAAGCUUCAACGAAAUGCAUGGGCGAUUCUUGGUUGGUUUGUUUCAUUUUAUGUGUUCUAUUGGAUUCUUCAAAAUAUAAAUGCUGGGAAAGAGCGAAUAAACUUUGAGCGAAUCUCGCUGUCUAAAACAUCAUAAUGCUGUUAAUCAUUGUACUAUCAGUGUUGGAAUUUGCUUCACUAUUUUUGAGCUUUGUUUCUUUAAUCGGUUAACUUCUUGCCUUUA